UUAUGUGACACAAUCGAAUUGAACUUGUUUAUUCUUAUGUUCGUGUAUCUAUUUUGUAUGUCAAACUAUGGGAUAUCAAAUAUGGAUAUCUCACAAAGCGAACUUGGAUCGACGCCCAACUGUAAAAGUAUUUGCCUAGUUGAUUCAUGUACUACACAUAAAAUACUCAAAGAAAAGAAAUAUUUCUCUCAACUAAAUAUGUGUAAG
rnacentral:lncRNA from 1 species